AUGAGAGAGGAGAAUGGCCAGGCCUGAGAAGUGGCUUAUGGUUGGAGGAGAGUCGGAAAGGGAAGGAGGAUUUCUCAGAAGGAAUCAAAGGAGCUCAGCCCCCUUGGUGAUCCCCACUUCCCGGGGAACGGGCCUUUUCCUGAUAGUACUGUGCUGCGCCCCCGCGGGCCAAAUGCGGGUGGACAUACUGCCCUCCCGCGUGUGACCGGGAGAAGGGCAGGGCACUGUUCCUUCCCUGUGCCCCUCCCCUCUGCCAUCAGUCUCCACCUGUCUGUAUUUACCUCUCUGCCCUCUCGCCCCUAAACCUCUUUUCUGUCCCCAUCUGGCUUCCCUCUCCAUCGGUCAGUGAGCUCUGAUUACGCUGCACUCCAGCCUGGGCGACAGAGUGAGACUUUGUCUCUAAAAAAGAAGAAGAAGAAGGAGGAGGAGGAGGAGGAGGAGGAGGAGGAGGAGGAGAAGGAGAGGAAGGGAAGGGGAAGGGGAAGGAGGAGGAGGAGGAGGAGAAGGAGGAGAAGGAGGAGAAGAGGAAGAGAAGAGGAAGAGGAAGAGGAAGAAAAAACGAAUGAUGAAGGAAAGUGACAAGAUUUCCGCUUCCAGAAACCCAAGUCUUGACUUUAUCCACAUGGAAGGUGUCGCUCAGAAUGCACUUUUCUUGGUGCGCUUUUCUUCCUAGCUUAGGGCAUUUCCUUCUAUUUCGGGAUCCGUGGGUAGGACGGGGGCUUGUGGGGGGGGGGGGGGGGCCCUGUCUUUCACUUGGCUGUUCAGAUUCUGCCAUCUUCAGGAGAAGGAUGGCCCUGCAAGUGGAUUCAAUUCAGUUUCUUGGCUGCGAGGAUGAAAAAGCAAGGAGGGUCUCAAGAACGGAGCGCAGCUGUUAGGAGCGGCUCACAAGGGAGGAGGAAGAUGUUUUCUCUCAGAUACCCGUCCCAGCCUGUCACUGCUCUGGGAAGCACAGUCAAGAGGAACCCAUCAUCCGGUAUUGAAAGGGAGAUGUGCAGAAGUCCACCCAUGUGUGAUAGAGACAGAAUACUCAGCAGAUAUUUCCCAGGCUCCCCUGCAGGCUCAGCCCCUGCAGAGGGGAAGUGGAUAAGCCUCAUUUCUGGACUGAAGUUGCACGUUGAAUGGGUAAAGCCCGUGGUCAUAAGCAAGCUGGUUCAAUGACAUGGAAGACACAGCUGCAGUCACUGCAACCGCGAUGGACUGUGUGUGUGCUGGAAAUGAACCUUCAUGGCGCUAAGUCACUGAGUUUUCAGACUUUAUCUGUUA
rnacentral:lncRNA from 1 species